AUUCACACUCUCUUGUACUGUCUGUUCCCACUAAUUCCCGGCAAUGCUCACCCUGUGGGUUUUCCUUGUGUCUUUGGCGUGGGUUUGUGGAGACACCAACAUAAGAAUACUCCAAGACCAACUCUCUUUCACCCGAAAACCAGACAGAACAGUGCACAUCAGUUGCCAGAUCUCUGGAGUAAACUUCAAGAACACCAUUGUGCACUGGUAUCAACAAAGAGAAGGGGAACCCCUGAAACGGAUCAUCUAUGGUUCGGCCAACAACUACAAACAAGACAUGCCCAAUUCUCGCUUGGAGGCUGGUGAGAAAGACAAUGGUAUCUUUUACCUGAUCAUCAAUAAUGUCAUCAAAUCAGAUGAGGGCACAUACUACUGUGCCUGCUGGGAUCCCACAGUGCCACAGAGUCAGAAGGGACCUGUAAGGAAACCUCAGUGAUUCUCCUUCAAUGGGCUUCACACUCCU